GCAGCAGCCGCGGGAAUACGAAGGGGGCUAGCGUUGUUCGGAAUUACUGGGCGUAAGCGCACGUAGGCGGACAUUUAAGUCAGGGGUGAAAUCCCGGGGCUCAACCCCGGAACUGCCUUUGAUACUGGGUGUCUAGAGUAUGGAAGAGGUGAGUGGAAUUCCGAGUGUAGAGGUGAAAUUCGUAGAUAUUCGGAGGAACACCAGUGGCGAAGGCGGCUCACUGGUCCAUUACUGACGCUGAGGUGCGAAAGCGUGGGGAGCAAACAGGAUUAGAGACCCGAGUAGUCCCUGUCUCUUAUACA
rnacentral:rRNA from 1 species